UACGUAGGUGGCAAGCGUUGUCCGGAAUUAUUGGGCGUAAAGCGCGCGCAGGCGGUCCUUUAAGUCUGAUGUGAAAGCCCACGGCUCAACCGUGGAGGGUCAUUGGAAACUGGGGGACUUGAGUACAGGAGAGAAGAGUGGAAUUCCACGUGUAGCGGUGAAAUGCGUAGAGAUGUGGAGGAACACCAGUGGCGAAGGCGACUACCCGGCCUGUUUCUUGACGCUGAGGCGCGAAAGCUAGGGGAGCAAACAGGG
rnacentral:rRNA from 1 species